GUGGAAGAUGAUGUGAGAUUUGGAGAAUCUGCGACGGCAUUUUUUCUCACUUCCUCCUGAUCCGUUUUUUCAGCUAUUUUUAGGUUUUCAAUUAAAUUGGCGACGAAACCGGAACUGUAUUUUGAGCACAAAAGUAACUAGGAGGAGAUGCAAUUCAGAACAAAAAGUUACUGUGUCAGUCUUGUUCUCUUAACCACCAGGGAACCAAUCGAAUCCCCUUCAGCUGCUGAUUUUUGUAUUACUAGAAUCUAGUUUCUUUAUAUCUGGUUAGAUGUUAACGUUAAUGUUUAUUCAGCUGCUGAUUUUUGUUUUGGUUACUACGGUUUAAGUUAUUUGUUGAUGAGAAUGUGUGAGGGUUUUAGUUUUAGUUGAUAAGAUUGUUAGGAUUGGAUUUAGCUACUUUGAGAUUGAUUUGACUCUACUUUCACUUUUAGACCCUGAAAGCAAGAGAGAGCUGAAAUGAUGGUCUUGUGGGGAUUGAAGAUUUGAUUAUGAUUAGUUCAUAUCCUUUCCCUUAUGGUAGCUUUUAUUGAAUAACCUGUUCAGGAGGAACUUGAUGAGAGUAAGCAGGCAGAGCAAAACCUACAUGAUGCUUCUUCUUCUAAGGAGAAAGCUCUUCUGAGGUCGUGUAGCAGCAAGCUUCCCCAUCAAGGACCGUCUUUGUUGGGAAUCUGCCAGUAAUCCAACAAAUUAAUCCAGCUUUUAUGUAAGUGCUAACAUUAUUGAGUUCACGCAAACAAAAGUUUUCUUGAACUAACAUUUUGUUUAUAUAAUCUAUAUUUAGUGAGAGUAUUCUUCAAUAAAGUAGUUGGGGAUGUUGUUGAGGUUCGAAUGGCGCGUUUGGCUAAUGGCAG
rnacentral:lncRNA from 1 species